UACGGGGGGUGCAAGCGUUACUCGGAAUCACUGGGCGUAAAGAGCAUGUAGGCGGAUUAAUAAGUUUGAAGUGAAAUCCUAUAGCUUAACUAUAGAACUGCUUUGAAAACUGUUAAUCUAGAAUGUGGGAGAGGUAGAUGGAAUUUCUGGUGUAGGGGUAAAAUCCGUAGAGAUCAGAAGGAAUACCGAUUGCGAAGGCGAUCUACUGGAACAUUAUUGACGCUGAGAUGCGAAAGCGUGGGGAGCAAACAGGAUUAGAUACCCUGGUAGUCCACGCCCUAAACGAUGUACACUAGUUGUUGUGAGACUUGAUCUUGCAGUAAUGCAGUUAACACAUUAAGUGUACCGCCUGGGGAGUACGGUCGCAAGAUUAAAACUCAAAGGAAUAGACGGGGACCCGCACAAGCGGUGGAGCAUGUGGUUUAAUUCGACGAUACACGAAGAACCUUACCUGGACUUGACAUAGUAAGAACUUUCUAGAGAUAGAUUGGUGUCCGCUUGCAGAAACUUAUAUACAGGUGCUGCACGGCUGUCGUCAGCUCGUGUCGUGAGAUGUUGGGUUAAGUCCCGCAACGAGCGCAACCCUCGUGUUUAGUUGCUAACAGUUCGGCUGAGAACUCUAAACAGACUGCCUACGCAGGUAGGAGGAAGGUGAGGACGACGUCAAGUCAUCAUGGCCCUUACGUCCAGGGCUACACACGUGCUACAAUGGGAUAUACAAAGAGCGGCAAUACGGUGACGUGGAGCAAAUCUUAUAAAAUAUCUCCCAGUUCGGAUUGUAGUCUGCAACUCGACUACAUGAAGUUGGAAUCGCUAGUAAUCGUAGAUCAGCUAUGCUACGGUGAAUACGUUCCCGGGUCU
rnacentral:rRNA from 1 species